GGAAGCUUCCUUUUGGGAAAGAGAAGAUGCUUCUGCGUGUUUUCUAAGGAGGCUCUUAGGAUGGUUAUGCAAGGCAUGAGAGAAUUGCUUGAAAGAACAGUCUGUGUGGUUCCUGCCUCACAUUACAGCAUCUGGAGGAGAUGAGAAAGAAAGAGAAAAUCCUGUGGAGUAACACAUGGGAGAGUAGCAAUGGCAAGGUAGUGUGGCUGGUGCCCAAGGUCAACUACAGACCAGAGCUGUAGGAGCUCUCCAAGGUCUCGAAAGGAACACAAGGUUCCCGGGUGAUUCCUGCACACUGUCAAGUUUGAGAAGCACUGGCACCAGCUUUUACUAGGCGCUCACAGUGGUCCAAGUGCGGUGCCAGGUAUUUACACAUGCCAUCUCAUUUCAGCCUCACAGCCUCUCAGCUGUUAGCGCCCCCUCUGACAAACAAGGAGACACCUGCCAUUCGUUCAACAAAUCCUUCCUGAGUGCCUAAUAUGAGAGAAGCUCCGUACUAGGGACUGGGGAACAAAAAGGGCGCUCCCCUGCUGGACUAGUGCUUAGAGACCAAUGGGGUAUGAUGUCAGCGUUAUCACUUAACAGCUGUGUGUUCAUGGGCGACUUCCUUGGCUUCUCUGAGCUCCGGUUUCCUCUUCUGCAGAUCUGGGCUGUGGUCAUGAUUCAGUGAUUUCCCCUAGGCCAAGUACUCACCAAAAGGCUUGAAUCUAGCGCAUUGCCCCUGAGCCCUGGAGGAUGGCCCCAUCCUGGACUGUCCUCAGACCCGCACAGUCUGCCUCUGGUAGAAGCUGAUUCAUCCAGGGCAACUCGCCAUCAUCAUCAAUCUGGGAGGAACCAGAUACACCUCAUAGUUCCUGAAAUCAGCCUGUUUUCACCUGCACAGUCACCUGAAGCAGCUGACUGUCUGCUCUGUGAAGAGAGAGGCUGAGCCUUGUUCCUCUCUCUAGUCCCACCGGGGCCUGUCACAUAGUAGGUGCUCAAUAAAUGUGUUGGAUGAAUCAGUCAGUCAAUGAAUUGAUGAAUAAAAAUGCAACUCCUUGUUACUUUUCAGCAGGGAAUUGAUUGGAUGUCUACAACAGUCCAGGUAGAAAGACAAUCUACUGUCUAGGUUAAAAGGAUAAAGUCAGGAGCAGGCAGCCUGGGUUUGAAUCCCAGCUCUGCCACAAGGCUUUGGGCAAGUUAUAUAACCUCUCUGGGCCUCAGUUUCUUUAUUUGGAAAAU